AGAGUUUGAUCCUGGCUCAGGACGAACGCUGGCGGCGUGCCUAACACAUGCAAGUCGAACGGAACUGUUUUGAAAGAUUUCUUCGGAAUGAAUUUGAUUUAGUUUAGUGGCGGACGGGUGAGUAACGCGUGAGUAACCUGCCUUCAAGAGGGGGAUAACAUUCUGAAAAGAAUGCUAAUACCGCAUGACAUAUCGGAACCACAUGGUUUUGAUAUCAAAGAUUUUAUCGCUUGAAGAUGGACUCGCGUCCGAUUAGUUAGUUGGUGAGGUAACGGCUCACCAAGACCGCGAUCGGUAGCCGGACUGAGAGGUUGAACGGCCACAUUGGGACUGAGACACGGCCCAGACUCCUACGGGAGGCAGCAGUGGGGGAUAUUGCGCAAUGGGGGCAACCCUGACGCAGCAACGCCGCGUGAAGGAUGAAGGUUUUCGGAUUGUAAACUUCUUUUAUUAAGGACGAAAAAUGACGGUACUUAAUGAAUAAGCUCCGGCUAACUACGUGCCAGCAGCCGCGGUAAUACGUAGGGAGCAAGCGUUGUCCGGAUUUACUGGGUGUAAAGGGUGCGUAGGCGGCUUUGCAAGUCAGAUGUGAAAUCUAUGGGCUCAACCCAUAAACUGCAUUUGAAACUGUAGAGCUUGAGUGAAGUAGAGGCAGGCGGAAUUCCCCGUGUAGCGGUGAAAUGCGUAGAGAUGGGGAGGAACACCAGUGGCGAAGGCGGCCUGCUGGGCUUUAACUGACGCUGAGGCACGAAAGCGUGGGUAGCAAACAGGAUUAGAUACCCUGGUAGUCCACGCUGUAAACGAU
rnacentral:rRNA from 1 species